GUGCGUUUCUUCCGGAUAGGAUUGCUGCUUGAAGGAUUGGGGUUGUAUACCGGACUGGAAGGACAGUCAGGUAUGAUUGUCAGUUCCUUCUUCUCAGGAUUGAUUUCUUGAAUCAACAUCCUUGGGAUAGUCGUUCUUAGGAAGAAAAGAAGGAGGAAGGUGAUAUGAGUUUGUUCUUCCUAUGCUUAAAUAGUAUUUUGAAUAAACCUCCUUUUUAGGUUUAAAGAUCUGUUCAGAUUAGCUGACAUUGCUUGUAGAUCUUUUCACGUGAUGAUCAAGACAGCUUUGUGUCUAACUUUUGGAUGGUUAGCAUCUUUAGGGUUUGUUUUUCAAUAAACCCUACUUGGUGGAUAUGAACAGAUUUGUCCUAAUUAGAUUUUUAGACAGAAGUUUUGUCUUUUCAGAUGUUUGCAAGAUCUGAUUUUAGAUAUGUUUUUCAUAUUUUCUAUAUAUAAUUUAUUUAAACACAUACCUUUUGUAGUAAUCGAC
rnacentral:lncRNA from 1 species